GGGGAGUACCNGNUNGCAAAGAUUAAAAACUCNAAAAGAAAUUUGNACGGGGGGCCCCGCACAAGCCGGUGGAAGCAUGUUGGUUUUAAUUNGAAAGCAACGCGCAGAACCUUACCCAUNCUUUGACAUGGCCUUGUUAACNUGGANAGAUUNCACNGUUCCCCCUUCGGGGGCGNGCACACAGGUGCUGCAUGGCNGUCGUCAGCUCGUGUCGUGAGAUGUUGGGUUAAGUCCCCGCAACGAGCGCAACCCACGUCCUUAGUUGCCAUCAUUCAGUUGGGCACUCUAGGGAGACUGCCGGUGAUAAGCCGCGAGGAAGGUGUGGAUGACGUCAAGUCCUCAUGGCCCUUACGGGAUGGGCUACACACGUGCUACAAUGGCGGUGACAGUGGGACGCGAAGGAGCGAUCUGGAGCAAAUCCCCAAAAGCCGUCUCAGUUCGGAUUGCACUCUGCAACUCGAGUGCAUGAAGGCGGAAUCGCUAAGUAAUCGUGGAUCANCNUGCCACGGUGAAUACGUUNCCGGGCCUUGUACACANCNNUCUUNNAANCAUNGGAGUUGGUCUUUUUCGU
rnacentral:rRNA from 1 species